GAGGGCAGAACACAUGCAAAAAUCUGGCACAUCUGAGUAGCAAGGACACCAGAAUUGCUGGUGCUCAGCAAGGAGGGGACAUGGAGAUGAUAUGAUGGGUAAUGAUGAGUCAGAUGGAGUGCUGACAUGGGAAUCCACCAGCAUAUGUUGAGCGAGUGACACUCCCCAUCGGAUUUAGGAUCUAAGAGCCCCAUUCCAGCUGCAGUAUUAAGAAGAGAGGGAUGGGUUUCCAAGGUCAGGAAGACCAGUAAGGAUGCCUUUGUAGGAAUCGAGUAUCUGGAAUUUCAGUCAUCAUCUGAAGGUGUCUGGGUCCAGAGAACACGGAACGCCAUUGCAGAGCCACCCAGCCAGCACCUGUGUGAUUCCCCCAAGACCACACGUGUGAUCUGCACGACAGCACCUGCAUGUGGCCCACCCUGCGGGUUGCCCACUUGGCCUAAGUUACCUCCUGCCACUUUAACAGGGGCUCCUGGACCAUCCUCAUUGUUUCUGAAUUAACUGCUGGGCUGGGCUGCUCCCAAGCAGGACGCACAGCCUUCCCUGUGAAGGACCUGCCUCUUGCCACCUCCGUCUUUGGGCACCGUCCUCCUUACAGACUCUGAAUGUCAUCAGAGCCCUGAGUCACUGGAGUCAAAUCCCUCCAACAAUCAUGGUCAUGUUGAAAGCUCUGUGUUUCCGGGAGACUCAGAACAGCUCCCAAGUUCAGGGAUGAGGGCUGUGCCAUCAGCCGGUAUCUAGCCCGUGACCACAGAUGCCCCCAGAUCCUUCCAGCCCACAAGACCGAGAUAGCUCCUCGAGUCACCCCAUCUCUCAGCCUCAAGUGACCCCCAUCUCUCAAGCAAGAAGCUCAGAGCAAAGGUAAUCAUACUCCACAUAGAAUGAAAUAAAAUUCUUACCGAAA